rnacentral:rRNA from 1 species
AACGUAGGAGACGAACGUUAUCCGGAGUUACUGGGCGUAAAGGGCGUGCAGGCGGUCUGAUAAGUUCGGCGUGAAAUAUUCCGGCUUAACCGGGAUAGGUCGUCGGAGACUGUCGGACUAGAGGGUGAUAGAGGCGUGUGGAAUUCCGGGUGUAGUGGUGAAAUGCGUAGAGAUCCGGAGGAACACCAGUGGCGAAGGCGACACGCUGGGUCACACCUGACGCUAAAGCGCGACAGCAUGGGGAGCGAACGGG